CGCUGAACAGCCAGGGAAACAUCUAUUGCGACGAAAUAGCCCUUGUAAAAAAAGCAGGCCAUCAAUUUACCAGCUCACCAUCGACCCUGGAGAGUACAGAAAUCUGCGGCACGAUAUCCGGACCCCCUUCGGAACCCGCUUCGGCAAACGACGCAGAAAAAGACGCAUAUCGCUUUCCGGAACGCCAGCAUCCGAUUUUCCCAUUUUCGUUCGUUCGCGAGUACGCUUUUCUUCGCGUAGCGCUUCGCGAAUAUUGAUAGCAAGUAAUCAUGAGUGAACAGAAGAAAAAAAGUAAAAAAUCGAAAGAAGAAAUUGCCAAGGAGUUCGACCUGCCGGAACGCAAGAGCAAGAUCGCAACGAUUCUCAAACAGGAUGGACAAGCUUACUGCCUUUGCCGAUCGUCUGACUCAUCCCGAUUUAUGAUAGGAUGUGAUGCUUGCGAGGAAUGGUAUCACGGAGACUGCAUCAAUGUUUCGGAAAAGGAGGCCAAGCAUAUUAAACACUAUUACUGUCAGCGGUGCAAGGAAGAAGAUCCAACGUUGCAAACAGUUUUUAGGCUUGUACCCACUCCGGGGACGACGGCGAAUCCGGAGGACAAGAAGCAGUCGAAGCGGAAGACAGAAAAGGCGAACGGAAUACCAUCAUCCGAGAAACGGUGUGGUCAUUGUGAUGGAUGUCGCGCCAAUAACUGCGGUAACUGUAACGCCUGCACGGGACCAUCCAAAAAUGGUCGAAAGCAACGAUGCGAAUUGCGUGUCUGUGUCAACAUCGCAAGUCGCAAAAAGAAUCGUUUGGCCUUAAAAACAGCUUCUAGAUUGAAAAAAAAGCGUCGUUCAAUAAGCCCGGAGGUAUGGAUUAAUCCGGCACUCCAAGGAGAGCGGCAAUGUUAUGGCCCUGGCUGCAUAAUGACUGCUCGGCCACAGUCCAAAUAUUGCUCGAACGACUGUGGGAUGAAGUUGGCUACUAGCAGAAUUUUUCAAGUGCUACCACAACGCAUUCAAGAGUGGUCCCUCAGUCCUGCCAUCGGGGAGGAACAGAACAAGAAAUCGUUGGAAGCGAUACGCACUAAGCAAACCAUUGUGCGUGCUACUUUAGCCGAAUUAGAUAAGCGACGUGCAGAACUGGACUUGCUGGUCGAUCGCGCAAAACGCUGUACGUUAGAUCCGACUGCGUUGGAUGGUACUGACAUGGAGGAUGAAAUGUCGAUGUACUGCAUAACUUGCGGUCACGAGAUACAUUCCAAAACAGCAAUACGCCACAUGGAAAAGUGCUUCAACAAAUACGAAAGCCAAGCCAGCUUUGGAAGCAUUUUCAAAACUCGCAUCGAUGGCAAUUCCAUGUUUUGUGACUUUUAUAAUCCCGGCAGCAAGACUUACUGCAAGCGGCUGCGCGUGUUAUGCCCCGAGCACUGCAAGGAUCCAAAGGUUAACGACACCGACGUCUGCGGUUGUCCAUUGGUGAGAAACGUAUUUCAGCUAACGGGAGAAUUUUGCCGUGCUCCGAAGAAGUCCUGUUUUAAGCACUAUGUGUGGGAAAAAAUUCGGAGAGCGGAAAUUGAUCUCGAACGUGUAAGACAGUGGUUAAAAAUGGAUGAACUGGUGGAGCAAGAGCGCCAAAUACGGCAAGCAAUGGCAUCACGAGCUGGUGUGCUAGGACUUAUGCUACACUCAACCUACAACCAUGAGCUGAUGGAAAAGUUGUGCGCAGGAAAAUUCUAGUGCCAGAAAUCAUCGUGAUUGUGUAUCAACUUGAAAAGCCCCGUACCUAUCGAGGCUGGCAUCCCUAGAAUGAUACGUUCCGAAACGCCAUCUACGCAAUCUGUUUGCCCGUAGUAAGCAGCGUCAAAAAGCGAGAUUAAACACCGAUUCGCGCAUUUUGGCUAACCCAUGCCUGGUGAUACCAAGGACUUCACCGCGAGAAGUCAUCUGACUAGCUAACAGCAUAAUGUGCCGAUGAUCGACGCUC